AUAUUGAAAGGUUGUGCCUUUUGAUAAAUAUGUGUAGAGGGUUGUGUCUUUUUCUAAUAGUUCUAUGUUGUAAGGUUGUGUCCUUCUAAAAAUUGUCUAAAAGUUGUGACUAUUCAUAAGUAUCUUUUAAAAAGUGAAAAGUUGUGAGUAUUAGAAGAAUGCGACUAUUCAGAUUAAAGGGUUGUGACUAUUCAAAUAGGCUUUAAAAAAUCUAUAAAUAGUCUC
rnacentral:lncRNA from 1 species